GUUGUAUAGUUAAGUGAGAAAGCGUACAGGGCGGAUGCCUUGGCAAUCAGAGGCGAAGAAGGACGUGCUAAUCUGCGAAAAGCGUGGGUGAGUUGAUAAGAAGCGUUUAACCCACGAUGUCCGAAUGGGGAAACCCGAUAGGCGAAGAGCCUAUCAUUACUAGGUGAAUAAAAUAGCCUCGUAAGGCGAACCGGGAGAACUGAAACAUCUAAGUACCCCGAGGAAAAGAAAUCAACCGAGAUUCUGUGAGUAGCGGCGAGCGAAAGCGGAGGAGCCAGUAAGUGAUAGCAUGUGAUUUAGGAGAAUUAGCUGGGAAGCUAAGCGACACAGGGUGAUAGCCCCGUAUCUAAAAAAUCGCGUGUGGUACUAAGCUUACGAAAAGUAGGGCGGGACACGAGGAAUCCUGUUUGAAGAUGGGGGGACCAUCCUCCAAGGCUAAAUACUCCUGAUUGACCGAUAGUGAACCAGUACUGUGAAGGAAAGGCGAAAAGAACCCCGGUGAGGGGAGUGAAAUAGAACCUGAAACCCUGUACGUACAAGCAGUGGGAGCCCGAAAGGGUGACUGCGUACCUUUUGUAUAAUGGGUCAGCGACUUAUAUUUUGUAGCGAGGUUAACUGAAUAAGGGAGCCGAAGGGAAACCGAGUCUUAACUGGGCGUUUAGUUGCAAGGUAUAGACCCGAAACCCGGUGAUCUAGCCAUGGGCAGGUUGAAGGUUGGGUAACACUAACUGGAGGACCGAACCGACUAAUGUUGAAAAAUUAGCGGAUGACCUGUGGCUGGGGGUGAAAGGCCAAUCAAACCGGGAGAUAGCUGGUUCUCCCCGAAAUCUAUUUAGGUAGAGCCUUGAGCGGACACCUUUGGGGGUAGAGCACUGUUUCGGCUAGGGGCCCAUCCCGGGUUACCAAACCGAUGCAAACUCCGAAUACCAAAGAGUGAUACUCAGGAGACACACGGCGGGUGCUAACGUCCGUCGUGGAGAGGGAAACAACCCAGACCGCCAGCUAAGGUCCCAAAAUCUAUAUUAAGUGGGAAACGAAGUGGGAAGGCUUAGACAGCUAGGAUGUUGGCUUAGAAGCAGCCACCAUUUAAAGAAAGCGUAAUAGCUCACUAGUCGAGUCGGCCUGCGCGGAAGAUGUAACGGGGCUAAAAUAUAGUACCGAAGCUGCGGCAUCAGUAGCAAUACUGUUGGGUAGGGGAGCGUUGUGUAAGCGGAAGAAGGUGAUUUGAGAGGAUUGCUGGACGUAUCACAAGUGCGAAUGCUGACAUAAGUAACGAUAAAACGGGUGAAAAACCCGUUCGCCGGAAGACCAAGGGUUCCUGUCCAACGUUAAUCGGGGCAGGGUGAGUCGGCCCCUAAGGCGAGGCUGAAAAGCGUAGUCGAUGGGAAACGGGUUAAUAUUCCCGUACUUGGAUAAACUGCGAUGUGGGGACGGAGUAGGUUAGGUUAGCGUACUGUUGGAGAUGUACGUUUAAGUUGGUAGGUGGGUGGACUAGGCAAAUCCGGUUCACUGUAAACACUGAGAGAUGAUGACGAGGCACUAAGGUGCUGAAGUAAUUGAUACCACACUUCCAGGAAAAGCCACUAAGCUUCAGGUUUAUCUAAACCGUACUGAAAACCGACACAGGUGGUCAGGUAGAGAAUACUCAGGCGCUUGAGAGAACUCGGGUGAAGGAACUAGGCAAAAUAGCACCGUAACUUCGGGAGAAGGUGCGCUGGCGUAGUGUGAAGUUCUUUGCGAAUGGAGCAUGAACCAGUCGAAGAUACCAGCUGGCUGCAACUGUUUAUUAAAAACACAGCACUCUGCAAACACGAAAGUGGACGUAUAGGGUGUGAUGCCUGCCCGGUGCUGGAAGGUUAAUUGAUGGUGUAAUCGAAAGAGAAGCUCCUGAUCGAAGCCCCAGUAAACGGCGGCCGUAACUAUAACGGUCCUAAGGUAGCGAAAUUCCUUGUCGGGUAAGUUCCGACCUGCACGAAUGGCAUAAUGAUGGCCAGGCUGUCUCCACCCGAGACUCAGUGAAAUUGAAAUCGCCGUGAAGAUGCGGUGUACCCGCGGCUAGACGGAAAGACCCCGUGAACCUUUACUAUAGCUUGACACUGAACCUUGAAUUUUGAUGUGUAGGAUAGGUGGGAGACUGUGAAGCGGUAACGCCAGUUAUCGUGGAGUCGUUGUUGAAAUACCACCCUUUAACGUUUGAUGUUCUAACGAAGUGCCUGAAACGGGUACUCGGACAGUGUCUGGUGGGUAGUUUGACUGGGGCGGUCUCCUCCCAAAGCGUAACGGAGGAGCACGAAGGUUUGCUAAUGACGGUCGGACAUCGUCAGGUUAGUGCAAUGGUAUAAGCAAGCUUAACUGCGAGACAGACAAGUCGAGCAGGUGCGAAAGCAGGUCAUAGUGAUCCGGUGGUUCUGAAUGGAAGGGCCAUCGCUCAACGGAUAAAAGGUACUCCGGGGAUAACAGGCUGAUACCGCCCAAGAGUUCAUAUCGACGGCGGUGUUUGGCACCUCGAUGUCGGCUCAUCACAUCCUGGGGCUGAAGUAGGUCCCAAGGGUAUGGCUGUUCGCCAUUUAAAGUGGUACGCGAGCUGGGUUUAGAACGUCGUGAGACAGUUCGGUCCCUAUCUGCCGUGGGCGUUGGAGAAUUGAGAGGGGCUGCUCCUAGUACGAGAGGACCGGAGUGGACGCAUCACUGGUGUACCAGUUGUCUCGCCAGAGGCACUGCUGGGUAGCUAAAUGCGGAAGAGAUAAGUGCUGAAAGCAUCUAAGCACGAAACUUGCCUUAAGAUGAGUUCUCCCUGACUUAGAGUCAGUAAGGGUUGUUGGAGACUACGACGUAGAUAGGCUGGGUGUGUAAGCGGUGUGAGCCGUUGAGCUAACCAGUACUAAUUGCCCGAGAGGCUUAACUAUACAACACUCAAGGGUUUUG
rnacentral:rRNA from 1 species